rnacentral:rRNA from 1 species
ACGCUCGACACCUACGGGCAGCAGUGGGGAAUAUUGCACAAUGGGGGAAACCCUGAUGCAGCAACGCCGCGUGAAGGAAGACGGUUUUCGGAUUGUAAACUUCUGUUCUUAGUGAAGAUAGUGACGGUAGCUAAGGAGCAAGCCACGGCUAACUACGUGUCAGCAGCCGCGGUAAUCUGAGCGGGCUGGCAAGGC